UAAGGAAUAUUGCGCAAUGGGGGAAACCCUGACGCAGCAACGCCGCGUGGGUGAAGAAGGCCUUCGGGUUGUAAAGCCCUGUCUAGCGGGAAGAACCUCCCUUUGGUGAAUAGCCAGGGGGACUGACGGUACCGCUGAAGGAAGCACCGGCUAACUCCGUGCCAGCAGCCGCGGUAAUACGGAGGGUGCAGGCGUUAUUCGGAAUCAUUGGGUGUAAAGCGCGUGUAGGCGGCUUGGAAAGUCAGAUGUGAAAGCUUCGGGCUUAACCCGGAAAGUGCAUUUGAAACUCCCAGGCUUGAGUCCCGGAGAGGAAGGUGGAAUUCCCAGUGUAGAGGUGAAAUUCGUAGAUAUUGGGAGGAACACCGGUGGCGAAGGCGACCUUCUGGACGGUGACUGACGCUGAGACGCGAAAGCGUGGGUAGCAAACA
rnacentral:rRNA from 1 species